rnacentral:rRNA from 1 species
AUUGAGCAAAAAAAAAUAUCUAAGCACUAAGACUAUAAAGUUAAAACUUAAAGAACAUGGCGACGGUAAUUAUUUAGGGGAACUUACCAGGUAAAUGAUAACCCACAAGGAACCGUGCUAAACCUAAAAGUAUGUAUAUCGCCGUCGUUGAACUUACCUGAAGUAAAUUCAAUCAGUAUUUCUACUAGAGGACAGGUCAUGGUGCAGCUUAUGGUUUAGCCUUGGCGAGUUACAGUAUAUUUUUUUUUCAGACUUCAUUUCUAAUGAAAUUUAGGAAGACGGACUUAAAAGUAACUAAUAAAAGAAAUAUUAAUUGAAUAUUUUUUACCGUGU